UCCAAAAAAUUCCGUGGACCGUAUAAUGGAGGCGGUGCAAAUCUUUUAAUUUGUAUAAAUCGACCCCAAUUCAUUUUUCACCUCAUUUUUCAUUACCGACAAACCUUAAACACUCUCGAACUCUCCCUAACCUAUUCCAAGUAAACCCAAGAUAAAUCAAGGAUUAAAAGUGAGAAUCAAGUGCUAAAGGUUUUCAAAGUCUUGUUGAAGCUUGUUUCUCCUUCUUGUAGGAGCUUUGGAGGAUACUUCAAGGUGAAGUAAUCUUGGAAUUGAAGUGUUUUUUAGUUCUUGAGGAUUGGCGCUCUAGUUGUGAUAAGCUCGUUGUUGGAUGGCUUGGAUGGCUUGAGGUUGUUGUUCAGCUGGAGCACUCCUCUUGUUCCGUAGUUGCUGUUGUAUUUUUGGUACAUUAUACUUUUGUGUGCAUACGGGUAUGGCUGGGUCCUGUCCUGACCUUAUUAUGUCAUACACUCCAGUAGAGGCUUUUAGACAGUCAGGGUAUAGUUAGACGUUGUAUGGAAAAUCGGCCUAUAUUUUUGCUGCAUAGUAUUUUCUGAUGGCCUUGUCGGCUUGCAUAGUUUUUGUCCAGCAUAGUUGUAUAGUAUGUCUUUUCGGGCUCAUCCCUUUUUCAGCAUAUUUCUCAUAUGAUUUAGCAUAUUUUCAUCUGAUGACCCUCGAGGUCCACUCUUGAUUAUGGUUAUGAUAUGAAAGCAUGUUUAAUGGUGCUCGACAGGUAGGGCCCGGGUGCCUCUCGUGGUCCUCUGGUUUGGGUCAUGACAUUUUCUAUUUGGUGUAUAUAUUUUUUGUGUAUAUACCACUGUUUAAUCAAGAAAUAAAAAUAUUUACUGAAAUAUUUGGUGACCUAGCUUGA